CCCUUAGAUGUUCUGGGCCGCACGCGCGCUACACUGACAGAGCCAGCGAGUUCAUAUCCUUGGCCGGAAGGUCCGGGUAAUCUUGUGAAACUCUGUCGUGCUGGGGAUAGAGCAUUGCAAUUAUUGCUCUUCAACGAGGAAUUCCUAGUAAGCGCAAGUCAUCAGCUUGCGUUGAUUACGUCCCUGCCCUUUGUACACACCGCCCGUCGCUCCUACCGAUCGAAGAGUUAGGUGAAUUGUUUUGAUCGAUAAGAUUUGACUAUGGUCAACUCUCGUUGUGAAAUUCUGUGAAUCUGACUGUUUAGAGGAAGGAAAAGUCGUAACA
rnacentral:rRNA from 1 species